AUGAGGCACCCACCGGUCCGGCGCACUCCUCAACCAGGAUGCCUGUCGGGUAUGAGGCCGCCGCAGCCAACUGCCACCAGUCUAUCUUUAGAGUUGUACUGCUGCAUCUACCUUGCCCGAUCUAGCUGCCGUCGACGCCACCACGACGCCAGACCGCGUCACCCUCCUGCGCGAGUCCAUCUUCAAGCAUCAGACGCCGAUUCACCACAACGCCAUUGCCGUCGAGAUCCGCCGCCAUCAAUGAGUGAGAUAACGCACCGGUCCACCAAAGGUUCCGUCCUCUGGUCCCUCAAUCACGUGUGUACCUUCAAUAAUGACCCCCCAAGGGGGAAACGACACCAGAGCGCCGCCGUCAUCUGA
rnacentral:rRNA from 1 species